ACGCUGGCGGUAUGCUUAACACAUGCAAGUCGAACGAGCUUUUCGGAGCUAGUGGCGGACGGGUGAGUAACGCGUGAGAAUCUGGCUUCAGGUUCGGGACAACAGUUGGAAACGACUGCUAAUACCGGAUGUGCCCAUGGGUAAAAGAUUAAUUGCCUGAAGAUGAGCUCGCGUCUGAUUAGCUAGUUGGUGUGGUAAGAGCGCACCAAGGCGACGAUCAGUAGCUGGUCUGAGAGGAUGAUCAGCCACACUGGGACUGAGACACGGCCCAGACUCCUACGGGAGGCAGCAGUGGGGAAUUUUCCGCAAUGGGCGAAAGCCUGACGGAGCAAUACCGCGUGAGGGAGGAAGGCUCUUGGGUUGUAAACCUCUUUUCUCAGGGAAGAAUAAUGACGGUACCUGAGGAAUAAGCAUCGGCUAACUCCGUGCCAGCAGCCGCGGUAAUACGGAGGAUGCAAGCGUUAUCCGGAAUGAUUGGGCGUAAAGCGUCCGCAGGUGGCAAUGAAAGUCUGCUGUCAAAGAGUUUGGCUUAACCAAAUAAAGGCAGUGGAAACUACAUAGCUAGAGUGAGGUAGGGGCAGAGGGAAUUCCUGGUGUAGCGGUGAAAUGCGUAGAGAUCAGGAAGAACACCGGUGGCGAAAGCGCUCUGCUGGACCACAACUGACACUGAGGGACGAAAGCUAGGGGAGCGAAUGGGAUUAGAUACCCCAGUAGUCCUA
rnacentral:rRNA from 1 species